rnacentral:rRNA from 1 species
UGGGGAAUAUUGCACAAUGGGCGCAAGCCUGAUGCAGCCAUGCCGCGUGUAUGAAGAAGGCCUUCGGGUUGUAAAGUACUUUCAGCGGGGAGGAAGGGAGUAAAGUUAAUACCUUUGCUCAUUGACGUUACCCGCAGAAGAAGCACCGGCUAACUCCGUGCCAGCAGCCGCGGUAAUACGGAGGGUGCAAGCGUUAAUCAGAAUUACUGGGCGUAAAGCGCACGCAGGCGGUUUGUUAAGUCAGAUGUGAAAUCCCCGGGCUCAACCUGGGAACUGCAUCUGAUACUGGCAAGCUUGAGUCUCGUAGAGGGGGGUAGAAUUCCAGGUGUAGCGGUGAAAUGCGUAGAGAUCUGGAGGAAUACCGGUGGCGAAGGCGGCCCCCUGGACGAAGACUGACGCUCAGGUGCGAAAGCGUGGGGAGCAAACAGG